rnacentral:lncRNA from 1 species
CUCUUCUCACUUUCUCUUCUUCCUCUCUCCUCUUCUUCUUCACACUCUCCUCUUCUUCUUCACACUCUCCUCUUCUUCUCACACUCUCCUCUUCUUCAUCUCACUCUCUCCUCUUCCUCUUCUCACUUUCUCCUCUUCCUCAUCUCUCCUCUUCUUCCUUCUCUGUCCUCCUCUUGUUCUCAUUUUCUCCACUUCCUCCUCUCUCCUCUUCUUCACUCACUCUCUCCUCUUCUUCUCACUCUCUCCUUUUCCUCCUCUCUCUUCUUCUUCUCAGUCUCUCAUCUUCUUCUCACACUCUCUUCAUCAUAUCUCUCUCACCUUUUUUUUUCACUCUCCUCUUCCUCCUCUCUCCUCCUCUUUUCUCACUUUCUCCUCUUCCUCCUCUGUCCUUCUCUUCUCACUUGCUUCUCUUCCUCCUCUCUCCUUCUCACUCUCUCCUCUUCUUCCUCUCACUUACUCCUCUUCCUCCUCUCUUCUUCUUAUCACUCUCUCUUCUUCUACUCACACUCUCUUCUUUCUCUUGCUCUCUCCUUCUCAGUCUCUUCUCCUCACUCUUCUUCUCACACUCUCAUCUUGAUCACUCUCUCCUUUUCUUC